rnacentral:tRNA from 1 species
GCGCCUGUAGCUCAGCAUGGAUAGAGCGCAGCCCUGCGGAGGCUGAGGUCGCGGGUUCAAGUCCCGCCAGGCGUGCCA